rnacentral:lncRNA from 1 species
AAGUGGGUCAUGGUGAGGCUAAGAGAGGCAGAGAAGCUUCUGGCUGCUCAAUGACUUUUAAGAUCGUUGGUUCUCAUUGCCGUUGAGGCCUGGUUGCCCCCUACCGUUUGGUUCCAGGUGAUGCCUCUGAAGACUCGCAUUCAACUCUUUUCUUGCUUAAGCUUGCCUGAGUGGUUUCUGUUCUGUGCAGCCAAGAGCCUUGACUAACAUUAUGCUCAUCGAUGUCACUGCCGCGAUCACAGCACAUACGUGAACAGUGCUUACAAUGGCCCGGACUCUAUUCUGAGAGCCUAACGUGUAAUCGCUUGUUAAAUCCUCAUAACAUUCCUAUGAGGUAGGUACAACCAUCGUCCUUAGUUUUCAGAUGAAGAAACAGGCACAGAGAGGUUCAGCAACUUAGUUCACAGAGCUAGUGAGUGACGGGGCUCUGGGAUUCAAACCCAGACAGGGCCUAUGUGCAGCCGUGCAGUUUUGUCUUAUUCUGUUGAGCGAAAGUUUGUAUCUUUAUGUUUUGAACCUGUUGUCCCGGAAGAACGUAGUUCUAAAUUCCAAGCACACGAGGAGGCCUGGGCCAGUCCCUUCUCCUGCAGCGAGGCUGGGUGGGCCGCGAGGCCUCUCACUUGCCGGGCCCGGCAGAGGAAGCGCGGGAAGGAGCCUCUGAGCCAGGACAGCUGUCCGAGACCCUCAGACAAGCCCUCAGAGAUCCUGGCCUCCUGUGCAGCCCCAAUCACCCUGUGCCCUUCUACUCCCCGUAUUGUGACCACCCAGCUCCCGGCGUCCCUCUGCUCAUACCCAGAGGUCCUGCCUCCCAGGUGAGUUCCCUGAAAGGUUAUUUCAGCUGUCUUUGCUUCCCCGUCCCCCACCUCUGCUGCAGCCCCAAGCCCUUUCUAGGUCUCAGCUUCCUUAUCUCCAAAUCGGACUGUUAUGAGGAUGAAAGAGAGAAAAUAGCAAAGGAUGUGGCCCGCAGUAGCCACUGGGCGGAAGUCAGGUAUCUACAGUAGGGAAGGAGGCUUCUGUCACCAGUGCCAGGCAGUCACAUCUGUUUGGAGGGGAGGCACUCCAAGGUCCCACCACACUUCCAAGAUCCCAUAGGGGCACAGGCUGAGCCGUGAGCGCAGACCUCUGGGUAGAGUAGAGCUUGGGUGGCCCCUCGGCUCGACCCUGCUUCCCCCCAUCCCGCUGCAGGGGCCAGGUGCAGAACGGGCCCUCUGGCUCGGUGGCUCCAGCCAGCAGCAUUGGGACUGAGGAAGAGGAGGGAGGCACCUGAGAUGAGGCAGAUCCGGCUGUCAGAGCUGGAGCGGGAGUGGUGGACCAGGGUCCAGGAGUCUGUAUGGAAAGCCAGGGAGCCCAUGGGGGGCAGGUCCUCAGCAGUCUUCUAGGCCACUUG